rnacentral:rRNA from 1 species
AACGAACGCUGGCGGCAUGCCUAACACAUGCAAGUCGAACGAGACCUUCGGGUCUAGUGGCGCACGGGGGCGUAACGCGUGGGAAUCUGCCCUGGGGUUGGGAAUAACAGUUAGAAAGGACUGCUAAUACCGGAUGAUGUCGAAAAACCAAAGAUUUAUCGCCCAAGGAUGAGCCCGCGUAGGAUUAGCUAGUUGGUGGGGUAAAGGCCUACCAAGGCGACGAUCCUUAGCUGAUCUGAGAGGAUGAUCAGCCACACUGGGACUGAGACACGGCCCAGACUCCUACGGGAGGCAGCAGUGGGGAAUAUUGGACAAUGGGCGAAAGCCUGAUCCAGCAAUGCCGCGUGAGUGAUGAAGGCCCUAGGGUUGUAAAGCUCUUUUACCCGGGAUGAUAAUGACAGUACCGGGAGAAUAAGCCCCGGCUAACUCCGUGCCAGCAGCCGCCGUAAAAC